rnacentral:rRNA from 1 species
AACGAACGCUGGCGGCAGGCUUAACACAUGCAAGUCGAACGCCCCGCAAGGGGAGUGGCAGACGGGUGAGUAACGCGUGGGAACAUACCCUUUUCUACGGAAUAGCUCUGGGAAACUGGAAUUAAUACCGUAUACGCCCUACGGGGGAAAGAUUUAUCGGGGAAGGAUUGGCCCGCGUUGGAUUAGCUAGUUGGUGGGGUAAAGGCCUACCAAGGCGACGAUCCAUAGCUGGUCUGAGAGGAUGAUCAGCCACAUUGGGACUGAGACACGGCCCAAACUCCUACGGGAGGCAGCAGUGGGGAAUAUUGGACAAUGGGCGCAAGCCUGAUCCAGCCAUGCCGCGUGAGUGAUGAAGGCCUUAGGGUUGUAAAGCUCUUUCACCGAUGAAGAUAAUGACGGUAGUCGGAGAAGAAGCCCCGGCUAACUUCG